rnacentral:rRNA from 1 species
AUUGGACGCUGGCGUCAUGCCUUACACAUGCAAGUCGAACGGUAACGGGCCUUCGGGUGCCGACGAGUGGCGAACGGGUGAGUAAUGCAUCGGAACGUACCUUUCAGUGGGGGAUAACGUAGCGAAAGUUACGCUAAUACCGCAUAUUCUGUGAGCAGGAAAGCAGGGGAUCGCAAGACCUUGCGCUGAUUGAGCGGCCGAUGUCAGAUUAGCUAGUUGGUGAGGUAAAGGCUCACCAAGGCGACGAUCUGUAGCGGGUCUGAGAGGAUGAUCGGCCAAACUGGAACUGAGACACGGUCCAGACUCCUACGGGAGGCAGCAGUGGGGAAUUUUGGACAAUGGGGGCAACCCUGAUCCAGCCAUGCCGCGUGAGUGAAGAAGGCCUUCGGGUUGUAAAGCUCUUUCGGUCGGGAAGAAAUCGCAUGGGUUAAUACCCUGUGCGGAUGACGGUACCGGCAUAAGAAGCACCGGCUAACUACGUGCCAGCAGCCGCAGUAAAAC